rnacentral:tRNA from 1 species
UAUGUUUUGGUGUAAGAUGCACAGAAGUUUUUGAUACUUUGGGGAACAGUUUAAUUCUGUUAAAUAUAG